UUUUUUGAAAAAAAAUAAGAUAUCUUUAUAUAUAUUUUUAUUUUUUAAAAAAAAGGGAAAUUACGCAUUAUACGAACCUUUUCUAAUUUUUUUUUUCCGUUUUUAGGUUUUCUUUUUAAAAUUUUUACUUCUAUAAACAUUUAAUUUCAUAAAUAUAUCUUUAUUGAGUUUUUAAUUUUGUUUUUAAGUUUUGUUGCUGCGGCUUCGGCUUCGGCUAGAGCAAAAGGGAAAGAGGUUUGGGAAUUGAGAAAAGUAAUAAGGGUAUGUAUUAGAGAUGGAGCUAAUCCUAGACAUAGAAACUGGAUUGAUGGAGAUAGAGAUAAAGACAAAUACAAUCCCAGCCCCAAGCGUAGAAAGUUCUCUGGGAGGUGAGUUUGUUUAUGACAUUAAUUGUUGUUGCUUUAAUCUCUGGUGGGACUUUGACUGUAAUGUAAUGGAUCACAAGCUUCGACCCAUAGCCAGUGACCGAACCGAAGUCACACCUCGUCGAACGAAUGAAUGCCCUUUCUCUACGUUCGAGUUCUGAAAGCAAAGCCCAUAGCUAAUUCCUCUGUUUACGCCGCCAAACUCACUCCAUCAAAACCAAAAAACAGAGCUUGCUUUCAACAAAGACGGACUUAACUCAACCAAUCUCCAAAAUUUUGCAAAACAAAAUAUAAUUGUGCUCAUAUUUUAAUAUUAGCGUAUAUUUGAAAAAAAAUUAGAUUAAAAAUAGAAAAGAAAAAGCUGCCCAAAAAAAAAGAGAUUAUUUUAUGGAAAUAUCUUUUUUAAAAAAAAAAACGUAAAAAAUAUAGAAAAAAGGAUAUUUUUACGUCCUAUUUUUUUUUUUAAAAAAAAAAGAAAA